UGGGGAAUAUUGGACAAUGGGGGCAACCCUGAUCCAGCAAUGCCGCGUGAGUGAUGAAGGCCUUCGGGUUGUAAAGCUCUUUUGGCGGGGACGAUGAUGACGGUACCCGCAGAAUAAGCCCCGGCUAACUUCGUGCCAGCAGCCGCGGUAAUACGGGGGGGGCAAGCGUUGUUCGGAAUUACUGGGCGUAAAGGGUUCGUAGGUGGUCAACUAAGUCAUGCGUGAAAUCCCUCAGCUUAACUGGGGAACUGCGUCUGAUACUGGUUGACUUGAGUGCAGGAGAGGAACGCGGAAUUCCAGGUGUAGCGGUGAAAUGCGUAGAUAUCUGGAGGAACACCGGUGGCGAAGGCGGCGUUCUGGACUGUAACUGACACUGAGGAACGAAAGCCAGGGGAGCAAA
rnacentral:rRNA from 1 species